rnacentral:rRNA from 1 species
AUUACUGGGCGUAAAGCGAGCGUAGGUGGCUUGAUAAGUCAGAUGUGAAAUCCCCGGGCUUAACCUGGGAACUGCAUCUGAAACUGUUAGGCUAGAGUAGGUGAGAGGGAAGUAGAAUUUCAGGUGUAGCGGUGAAAUGCGUAGAGAUCUGAAGGAAUACCGAUGGCGAAGGCAGCUUCCUGGCAUCAUACUGACACUGAGGCUCGAAAGCGUGGGUAGCAAACAGGAUUAGAUACCCUGGUAGUCCACGCCGUAAACGAUGUCUACUAGUCGUUGGGUCCCUUGAGGACUUAGUGACGCAGCUAACGCAAUAAGUAGACCGCCUGGGGAGUACGGCCGCAAGGUUAAAACUCAAAUGAAUUGACGGGGGCCCGCACAAGCGGUGGAGCAUGUGGUUUAAUUCGAUGCAACGCGAAGAACCUUACCUGGUCUUGACAUAUCUAGAAUCCUGCAGAGAUGCGGGAGUGCCUUCGGGAAUUAGAAUACAGGUGCUGCAUGGCUGUCGUCAGCUCGUGUCGUGAGAUGUUGGGUUAAGUCCCGCAACGAGCGCAACCCUUGUCCUUAGUUACCAGCGGGUUAAGCCGGGAACUUUAAGGAUACUGCCAGUGACAAACUGGAGGAAGGCGGGGACGACGUCAAGUCAUCAUGGCCCUUACGACCAGGGCUACACACGUGCUACAAUGGUAGGUACAGAGGGCAGCUACACAGCGAUGUGAUGCGAAUCUCAAAAAGCCUAUCGUAGUCCAGAUUGGAGUCUGCAACUCGACUCCAUGAAGUAGGAAUCGCUAGUAAUCGCGGAUCAGAAUGCCGCGGUGAAUACGUUCCCGGGCCUUGUACACACCGCCCGUCACACCAUGGGAGUUGAUUGCACCAGAAGUGGAUAGCUUA